GAUGAUUGGACACGCGCCUGCCAUUGGCUGGUGGGCGCUCGCGGCGGUUUUGCGGAGCGCGGGCUCGGGCGCUGCCCCGUCCCUCAGGCCGGCGGGAGCCGCGGCCGCCGCCGCCACCGCCCGCUCGCCCCGGAAAUUCAGUCUCUUACCAUAAAAGAAAAUGUCUACAUCUAGCAUUGUAGCAAGAGUGGAAACAUGGCUUUCAUCCACAUGGCAUGUUAAAGUUCCUUUAACAUGGCUGGAAGCAUGUAUUAAUUGGAUCCAGGAAGAAAAUAGUGGUAGUAAUUUAAGUCAAGCUCAGAUUAACAAGCAGGUAUUUGAGCAAUGGCUUCUUACCGAUCUGAGAGACUUGGAGUAUCCCAUUUUGCCUAACUGCAUCUUAGAUACUCCCAAGGGAGAGUUAUCAGGCUGCUUCUCCAUUCAGAUUGAUUCACUGGUGGAUGUUAGCCAGCCAGCAUAUUCUCAGUUGCAGAAGCUAAGAGGGAAAAGCACUGUAAAUGAAGAAGUGACAGCCAGUACUCAGACAUUUCAGAAGCCCUGGGAAGCAAAGCCUACUCGAAUGCUGAUGCUACAGUUAACAGAUGGCAUACAUCAAAUUCAGGGCAUGGAGUAUCAACCAGUGCCUGUUCUCAGCAGUAAUCUUCCUCCUGGAACAAAAAUCACUGUACAGGGCAAUAUUGCAUAUCGUCUUGGAGUUCUUCUGCUUAAACCAGAAAAUGUGAAACUGUUGGGGGGUGAAGUUGAUGCUCUUCUUGAGGAUUAUUGUCAGGAAAGAGUCCUUGCUAGGUUAAUUGGAGAAGCUGAAAACCCUAAUUCUGUUGGACAAGCUGGACAAGGACAGAUUUUUUCAAGGCCUGUGGAUGAGUUAGAACAAACUCUUGGCCCUUCAGAUGAAGAGCUUUUAGCCAGCCUCGAUGAAAAUAAUGAAUUUACUUUGAAUAACAGAACAUCCUUAGAAAGUGGAUACUGUAGUAGAAGCAACAAUUUUAACACAGCCUCAGGUUCACUGACUGCACACAGUGGAAAUGUUUUGCUACAAAAGUCUGGAAGUCCUUUGCCUCACUCAGAUGAACAAGUUUCACCUCCCAUAGAAUACACUGAUGGCUUUUUAAAUGACUUUCCUUUAGAAGAUGACUUGCUUCUGGAAGAAGAGAUGCAAAGAGAGAUGGAAGAAGUGCCACCAGUGGAGAUGAACAGAAACAUAGAUUUAUUUACUGGCAGACUUCCACAUAUAUCUAGAAGCUCCUGCAAUUCAUCUUUAAAUGGCACUGGUGAAGAAGACAAUGUGAAUGAAAGAGAUAAGCCCGGGGAAGCUAUCAGCAAGGAAAAGAGCAUGAGAAGAACAAUAUUUGAUGAAGAUCGAAAUAGCAUUAGUAACUUCUUGUCGCACAAGAGCUUACAUCAGACCUGCAGUUCAUCAGCUUUCUCUUUGGAAACUCCUUCUGAAGAGGGGCAGAAUUAUACAGACCUAAAUGAGAGCAGAUGUAAACAUCAAGACAGUUCUGACUGCAGGGUAUUAAAUGAUGAUCCUGUAUUUUCCUUAAAAGUGGAUCCAGAAGGAGAUCAGCAAAGACGUGAUUCACAGAUCUUUCCUUGCACGGCAGUAGAGGCACAUUUAGAUUUAGAAUCUCCACCUUUCACAUAUAUUUCCCUUCUCCUUGCAAAAAAACCAGAAACUGUUACAAUUCUGAAAGUUAAAUGUUUUAUUGUCACUCUCACUGGAAACUUGACAAAAAGCAGUGGAUCCUGGGGUAUAAAGGCUAAAAUUUCUGAUGGCUCUGCUUAUCUUGAAGUAGAUUUUGCUGAUGAUAUUCUAACAAGUUUCAUUGGCUUUUCAGUGCCUGAAAUUAAUAAGCUGAAAAAGGAUCCUGCUUUACGUCUAAAACUUAAGGAUGGUUUAGACAAAUGUCAAAAACAGCUGAUAGAUCUUUGUUGUUUGAUGACUAUUGAGUUUAAUCCAUUUCAGUCUAAAGCUACUGUAUUAAUUCUCCAGGAUGCUGAUGCUAGGCAUCUAGAACAAUUGAAGAAACGUUUGAAUAAAUAAUACGUGCAAACUUGCAGACUAGAGAUUAGGAAACGUUUAAGUCAGAUUUCCCUUGAAGAGCUCCUGAAAGUUAAACUUCAAGUUAAGUGAUGUGUCUUUUAUCGGGAAUUAUAAUGUAAAAUUGAGACAAGGAGAUGACUCGUUGGAGCAAAACUGGGCAGAUUGUUUCUUACGGUGACAGUAUUGGAAUAAGAUUUCAAAUAUUUGUGUCUUGACUUUUUCAUUCUGGAAAAUCCUUCAUGUUCUAAACUGGUAAUCCUCAGUAACUGAAUUUGUCAGGAAAUGUAUAACAAUGAACAAACCAUUUUGUUAUUUUACUUUUUCAGGUACUUACUCGAUCUUUAAAAGAAAGGCGCAGGAGACCCUCAGUUUUUUCUUGCAGAAAAUCAGUUGAAUAAAUUUAAAUCAAAUACAGUCCCUUCUGUCUAUGCCAAUCUGAAGACUCAAAUCUAUAUUCACUGUGCAAGAACCUAAAGUAUAGAGAAAUGAAAGAUUGUGUUCUAAAUAUUCAGGUGUGAGGAAAAAAAAAUCCAAUCUUAUACAAAAAGGAGAUUUAAAAACCCUCUAUAUUUUUUACAAAUAACUUAAAAGAAAGCCAAGUGUUUUAAAGUGUUUAUUAGCAUAAAAUUAUCAUAAUGUAUGGGUAUUCUAUUUUUUUUGGUCAUAUUAGUGUUAAUCAUUGCUAGUAGUUUUGAAACCAGAGGCAACUCAUUCAUUAAUUCUUAUGGUUACUUGACUAACUAUUUCACAGAGUAGUCAAAUAUUUUUACUGCACACAUGUUGUAUAGUGUACUUAUUCCUGGUCUUAAUUUUGAUUGAUUUUUUAAAAAUUUCUACUUCUAAAAUAAUAAAUUAAAGUUUUCAUUUAAAUUCUGGUGUAUGCUGCUUAGUCAGUUUGAAAGAAAAAUAAAUAUUUUGUUGAGUGUAUGGAAUAUAAGAAAUUAUUUGAUUAAGUUUUUUGUUCUUUUUGCUUCUUCCCAUCCUUUCCCCUUCACUUGUUUUUUGGUUUGUUUUGUUUUGGGUUUUUUGUUUGUUUUUUCCUUUAGUUGAUUGGUUUGAGUUGGGUUGUUUGCCUGUAGAUUCUGAAGAAUUAAUAUUAUGGCAGGAAUAGGGGAACCAGUGACAGGAGAAGUCUGCCCAGUGUUGGUAGUGUUUGCAAAGAAUGUAAAAUUGGUGGCUGGGAGAGGGCUUUUUUUUUUCAAUUGACCUGUCAUUAUCUUUUUUCAAAGCCUUUUCUUUCUCUGAACAAUGUCUGUUAGGCCAUUGAGAUUUGCUGUGACAGAUUGUCUCAGUAAGUAUAGCCAAACUGAGAACCAUGCUUGAAGACUGCAAGGGAAACUAGAGGUGCUAAGCAGACUUCUGCACUUGCAGUGUAUCUGACUGCAGUUUCAAGGAAAUGGCAAGUGCUCCAUCUCCCUGACCACCUUGGCAGCGUCUGCUGGUCACCUGCUUCACUGUCAGCAGUGUUCUUGUGCUGGGGAAUGCUGAAUAGGACACAACACUGCACAUGCAGCCUCACAAGUGCUGACAGCAGAAGGCAGCUUGCUGUCUGGGGUCUGCUUGCUAGCUCUGAUGGUCAUUGCCACCACAAGGUGUAACUACAUUUCUCUUCACAGAGAAAAGCAAGGCACGACUUCCCAAGAAUAUUUCUGAGAUUCACAUUCUCUGAACCUCAGAAAAAGGAAAAACAAUUCUUAUCACAUUUGCUGCACCUGUGUUUGUGCCAAAGUAGAAUGCAAUAUGGAGAUUAUUUACCCAAAGUGAUGGUGUUUUGUUUCCUUGGCCUAUCAGGUCCAAGAGUGUCUGUGUGUCAGGACUGUUGGCUGACAGUCACGAGAUGUUGUGCAGUUGAGUGCUUGGCAGAUUCAGUUUAGAUGUAAUGUAAUAUAGUGUAGAAUAAUGUAGUAUAAUAAAGUAAUUAAUUAGCCUUCUGAUAUCCAUGGAGGUCCUCCUCAUCAUUCCUCCCAGACAUUGGGCAAAAAUAUCACCAGGUCACACGGCUGAGUUCUGUUAAGCUGCACACAAGUGCACACGGCUCUUACUCUAAAGCUCCUUAACCAGCUGUUUCCCAAACCAUAAUGUUGCAUGGAGUUAUUUCUGCAAGGAUGAAGUAAUUUGAAUUUGUCUUUGUUGAACUUAUAUUUCCACAAGUCCACAUGUCCAACCUGUGCCAUACUGGUUCUCUAUCUCUCAUUGCUUUCUUUUCUUUUCUCGCCCCUCCCUUCCGUAUGUGGAAGCUUCUCUAGCACUUUCCCCUUAUCUACACAAUCAGACACCUCUUUCUAGAGGAAAUUAGGUUCGGCAGACAUGACUUGACAUUGCAGGCUUGACAUUGUGCUGGCUGUUUCAAACUACCAUCACCUUCAUGUGCCUUGCUAUGGAUUCAGAGGGGAUUUGCUCUAACUGCUGAGACUGAGGUCAGACUGUCAAGUUGGUAAUUCCCUCCUGGAAUCAAGAUGGAUCCUCCUCCUGGAACAUGGGUGUGGAACUUGACUUUUACCACUCAUCAGGUACUGCUGUAACCUUUCCAGUGUCAUCAUGUAUGUUCUUAUGGCACACAGCCAGUGCUCUCUCUGGUCUCAUGGGGAGUUGUAUGUGUUUGCAGGGUAAAGUAGUCUGUUGCUACAAGGAGGUGCUGAUACAUAUGAUUUCAAUAAGAAAGACACUCUAAAAUACCAUUUAAAACACUAGUUAUUGGCGAUGAGGACAGACAGGGAAGACUGAGGUGGUCAAAGAAUCUGAAUUUAUAUUAUUUAUAUCUGCUUAUAUAGUAUUUUAGGAAGACUAGUAAUGUUUUAUUACAAUGAUUGGGGUAAAAAUCACAUAAACAAACUUAUGCAUUUUAAACAUCUCUUGCUUGCAGAAGUCUGAUGUAAUUACUUUUUUUUUGGUAAAUCUAUCCGAUUUGAUCUUGCAAUCUUGAUUUAAUUUUCAAAAUUCUGUCUGCUCUUGCCAAGGCAUCCUGUUAUCAAAUCUCUUAUGUUAACCAGGUCCAAAGUCCAUCAUCUGUCUUGUGUCCCAAUAUCCCAAAAACUAGUUAUUAGAACUAACACUUUCAGAUAAAGGCGAGGCCAUGCAGGUGGCAUAAGCUUUGGUACAAGAGUUUUGCCAAGACAAACAGCUGCCUGCUGGCUCCUUCAACGCUGUGCUGCUUGAGCUUAUCCCACCACCAAGAGAUUUGUACAGCCCAAUACAGCCUGAAGGCCACACUGGCUGUGCAGAGCACAGACCUUGCCUGCUCAGGUUAGCCAUGACAUGAUGUGGGUCACUCAGCCCUCAACAUCUUCUGGUUAGCAUCACCACAUUCCCUGUCCCAUUACUUGCAGUAAAUUGUAAUACCUUUCUACAGAUAUUGUUAGGCUUGGGAAAGCUAGUAGGCUUCUUGUCAUCUGCUCAUGGAUCAUCUGCAUCUUCCAGUAUCUGUGUUACUCUGUAAGCUGUAAGUUAUUUAGGCUGUAUGACAGAUUUCAUAUUGUAAUACAAGUCACAAUUAAUGCAAGCUUUAAAAUAGUUUUACUGUAGUGGCACUGCAGAUCCUGGAAGAAUAUUUUUGGCUAGAUGAUACUAUUUAAAAAGCCAUGGUAAUAUAUAGCUUACUGCUUUGUGGCAAAUGAAUAUCAAAACACCUUUUACAUUCUUUUCAUGGACAAAACUAAAAUUAAUUUCGGCAAAGUUCAGUUAAUAUAAAAAAGGGCAAAAUGCAGGCUUCACAAAUGCCAUCUGAAUUGAUAAUCCAGAAAGAUAGCUGAGUUGGGUGAACUGAGAUACUCAUAGAAGGAGUAACAGAUUAGAGGCCUUUCAGAAUAAGGGUAUUUCCCUAUGUACCAGGGGAGCUGUCACAGAGUCAUUGUGAUAAAGAAAAUUUGCCUCAAUUCUGUGGGUAUUCAAAAAGUAGUAGGAAUUCCAAUCCAAUUGACUGAGAGAGAGUGACUAAUCUUCAGCCCCAUUUAGCACCUUUGUAGUAGGUGGAGAUUGGAGCUGGGAGACAUUCCAUACUUAAGGCUUCUUAGUAGCUAAAUGAGCAUCUCCCUGCGCACUGACUUAGAUUUUUUAGCUUAAUUCCUUGUAUAAACUUCAGAGAUAUCCAAUAAAGUAAAUUUAGCUGGUAUGACCAGCUAAAUUAACAUGUUAAACAACUUUUUGUUUGCAUACGUGGUAGGUUGGAAUUUUUUCUAGGAUGAGAAUAGUCUUUUCUUUAGGGGGAAAAAAAUAGCUCUACAGAGAGACUGGAGAGACUCAGUCAAUGGGCUAAGGACAGCUGCAUGAGGCUCAAUAAGGCAAAGUGCUGGGUUCUGCACUUGAGUCACAACAACUUCAUGCAGUGCUCUAGGCUGGGGGAGGAGUGGCUGGAGAGCUGUUCAGCAGAAGGAGACUUGGGAGUGCUGGUUGAAGCCAGCUCAAUAUAAGCCAGCACAUGCCCAGGUGGCCAAGGAGCUCUAUGGCAUCCUGGCCUGUAUCAAGAAUAGUGGAGCCUGCAGGGCCAGGGCAGUGAUUGUCCCCUGGCACUUGGCACUGGUGAGGCCACACCUUGAAUCCUGUGUUCAGUUCUGGGGCCCUCACUUAAAAAAUAACUUUGAGGUGCUGGAAAGUGUCCAGAGAAAGGCGACAAGGCUUGUGAAAGGACUAGAAAACGUGUCUUAUAAGGAAUGGCUGAGGGAUCCUGGUUUGUUUAGUCUGGAGGAGAGGAGGCUCAGGGGGGACCUCAUUGCUCUCCACAACUCCCUGAAACGAGGUUGUAACGAGGCGGGGCCUGGUUUCCUCCUCUGUGCCAGCAGUGAGGGGACCAUUAGAAGAAUUUUUUUUUUCACUGUUAGGGUGGUCAGGAAAUAGGUUUUGAGAGGUGCUGGAGGUGCUCAAGAGGAGUCUGGAUCUGUUGCUGGGUGGUGAUGUUUAGUGAUUUAGGGGUUACGGGUAAUACUGGCCCAUGGGACUGGAUGAUCUUAAAGGUUUCUUGCAACCUUGGCAAUUCUAUGAUUAUUCUAUGAAAAGCAGAUUAUUAUUUCCACUUAAAGGGUCAAGGCUUUAUUUUACUGAUGUUGAUAAUCACAGUCUGAAAUUGAGGCAAUGGUAGUAUUAACUGCAGAACAUGAAAGUCUUUUCUCACUUUUAAAGUAUUGACAGAAUAACAACCUUCACAAAGCAUUUUUUCAAGUUAAAAUAAACAUAAAAAUGCUAAGGUGAAAAUAUACCUAUGUUGAAAGAAUCUGUGAUGGAAAAGAUUGUGAUUUGUGAUAAUUAAGAGGAAAUGUUGUACUCCACUAACAGGAUUUAGGAAAUAAAUGUAAUUUCAAUCUAAAUAUUCACAGCUGACUUUCCUGCUCCUAGGACAAUCUCUUGCUGUAUUUAUAAUUACAGCACAAUCAUAAUUUAACACAUGUGUACUAUGUAUAAAAUCUGGGGAAGUAUUGCUAUUAAACAACAAAUCUGUCAUUUAUUGUAAAGAAAUACACAAGCCCCUAAUGCUGCUGACUGCCUAAGCAUAUGCUUAGGUAAUUUACUCCCUUGCAUCAACUGUUAGUGUUAAUUCCCUCAUACAUUUUCUCCAAACUAGAGAGUGCCAUUAGGUAGAAAGUGUAAAUAAGGAUCUACUUGUAACUUAAAACAUUCAAAUUAUCUUUCAUUAGAUACCUUUUUAUGAAAACAUGUCUUUUCUCUUAAACCUUUUAUUUACAAAUGCAUAACAAAUGCAAACACUGAAAAAUUUGUCUGACCUGCAAAGAAUAUUCUGCCAAGCAUAUGUGCAGUAAGGGCCUGUAUAAAUAAUAUAUUACUUUAAAAUAAAUGUUAGUGUAUGGAAGAGCACUUCCAUAUAGAUUUUACUUUUUGUUUUAGAGGUAGUCAGAUACAAAGGCAAGCAUCAGCUCUUGAGUGUUAUGCGAUCACAUUGGAUAGCAUAGGCAAAGACAAAAUAGGAGAAAAGUCGGUGUCUUAUGGGGCCUAUGGCUAUUCGUGAAAGAACAUGAGGCUAAUGCUCAUAAUAUUUUUAAAAUCAACAUUAUGUUUUAUCUGUGACCUUAUUUUCUAAUACCUGUGUUGUAAAAUAUUAAUUAUAAUCUUUUAAUGUAAAAUAAGAAAGCACAGUGUGAAAUAAUCCUCAAUCUCUAGCCAAGUACUUUGUCUACUGUCUAAUAUUUGUGAUAGUUGAUGACUAAUCAAGAGACCAAAAAGCUCUAAAAGUCUGGUUUUCUUCUAUCAAGUGACACUGGUUAGGUGACUUGUUUUCCCAAAUGCAUUUAAAACUCCUCAUUCAGUGGCCAUUCUUCCUCUUUUAUUAUUUGAAAAAUAGAAUUGGGAGUUAGUUUGAUCUAAUGAUAUCUUCAUAAUGACUUUUAUAAUAAUUAGUAAAUGAGGCCCUGGGUACAUGUACAAAAAUAAAGAGGUAGCAUAAUUGUGAAUAUUGACAGCUCAGUACUAUUUCUCCAUACAUGAGUAGUGAUUGUUAAUCACUCUGCAAAGACAGAAACAAUUAUACAAAACACAGCAUGUGUUUUAUAUGUUUUCAGCAUAUUUAUAUGUUUUCCAUAUUUUUUAGUAGUACUUUAUCCAUGUGACACAGAAUCUGACAUGUUUCAACCAUAUGCUAUGUAUUGAUGGAACUUUGACAAAACCAUUAGCUUGUAAAUAGAAAUAAAAUAUUAAGGCCUCUGUUGUUGCUUCUUUGUAGUGGGAAGAUUUCUUUACAGAAUUUUUUUUCUCAUCUCAAGAUACAUGAAAAUAUGUGCUAAGAAAAAAUAUUAAUCUUCUGAUAAUCUUAACAAACUGAUUUAAAUCCACAGUUUAUGUUAUUUAUGAAGACUCAUUAUUUCGUGAAUAGUUUUGAAUCUAAGAAUCCAGUAGUAUGUCUUCAGUGCAAUUUACAACUUUACAUCUUCCUAAGAAAUACUUUCAUAUUGUAUUAUACCAAGCAUUUAAAUGUUUAAGAAAGAUGUUUUGUGAUGGAAGUAAGCAAAACAAAUUUUUAUCAUGACAGAAGUAUAUUCUGACAUUGGUAAAUGGUGUGUCUGUUUCUGACUUCAUUUUGGGAGUAUAAUGGAUUGCUAGAGGAGGAGAAUUUUUUAGUGAAAAAGGAAAGGGUGUUUGGAAAGAAAGUCGGGUAUCUUUAAGGAAGUGUAUUUUAGCAAGAUGUUUCCAUACUUGAGAGGGGAAAAACACAAGCUUAAAUAAAACAACAUUUUAAAAGCCCAAGCAUUAUAUACUGGUUUUAAUUUUAAUUGGUUUCUGUAGAAAAGUCUAUUUAAAUAAACUAAAGUUGUGGUCCUAAGCAAGGAAACAAUGUGCUUUACACAUAUGGUGUGCUUUAUGUUGCUCUAGUGGUAUGUACAGACCAUUCAGAAGCAAAACUUUUAUUGGACACUCUCAUAGCAGAACUUAUCUGCCAAAAGCUUCACGUUGCUCUAUGGGUUUUUUGAAUGUUGUUCAAAUCAAAAACUUGUAUGUCAAAAACUUGUAUAUUCUACAGAAGAAGCCUGUGAACCUCUCAGAUGCUUUGGGUAGCCUCAUGCUUUUCAGCACAGGAAGUGAAUUUCUUUGGGUUUUAUGGGAACAAGUUUAGUGCAAUUAAUUAUUUGUGGUACAACUGACACAGACUGACAAUUGUUGGACAUUGUGGUAUUGGUAUAAAGAUGUGUAAGCUGAUAUAAUUUGUGUCAGUUUUGCAGAAAGUUGUGUAAUAACCCUAGUUAAUAAAAUAACACCUGUGUUGCACCUAAAAUUUUAGGUAGAAUUUGGCUGAUUGAAAAAAGAUUAAGGACUUGAUCACUUCAUAGCUUAGUUCUGCAUUUGCUUUAGAUCUGUAUAGACCAUACUGGUCACUAAAAGAAGGUAUUAAACCCUUCCUGGCCCUGUUUCCAAUCUUGCAUGCCAUCUUCUAUGUCUGCGUUAAAAACAAUCAAAACCAUCACCAUUAGCUGCCGGAUUAAAAAUUCUCUGUAGUUGGGCUGGAUUUUAGCUUGAAUUAGUUGCCUGAGGUAAAAAGGAGGAAAUGCUGCAGAGGUGGAAAGAAGCAGGGGGAGGGACAUGGAGAAUGCAUAUGCCAGUGUUUUGUGUGUGGCGGAGCCAUAGCCAUUGUUCUGCUGAAGAAUAGCAGCAGGCAUCCUUUGGAAUCAGCAGGAGAUAAAUAGGAUGAAAAUAUACAAAGAGGGAAGUCAAGAACUGAAGGGAAGGAAGCUAAGAGGUAGAGUUAUGAAUAACAAAAUGAGAAAAAGCUUACUGUACCCUUUGUUUUCUUUCAUGAACCAAAUAAUAUCUUGAUUAAGAGCAGAAAAUAAUAAUAAAGAAGGAUGGAAAAAGGGAAAAUCAAAGCUUUUUGUUGAAAACUGUAUGUAUGUAUGUGAUUGUAGAAAGCCAAAUUCAACUGUGAAGCAGCUAAGAAUGAAAAUCAUACAUAUUAAUACUGAUUAAAGCUACCAGUGAAGGUAUACAAAAUAAUUGGAAAGAAUUGCUUAAAUUGAGGGGGCUUAGUAUCUACAGUGUAUUUCUUGUUGAAAUUUUCCUGUCUUAAGAGAAAGGAAGGUACAGUGGAUCAUUAUUUUCUUAUAAGUAUUUCACUGAACUCUAAUGUCUUAGAAGUGUUAAAGUAUAUACUGCAGUUUUGUGAAUGAGUGCAAAAAUAAGGUAACAGUAAUAAUAAUAUGUUUGUCUUUUUGGAAGGUGGCAACACAAAAUCAUUGAAUUGUUUAGGUUGGAAAAUAUCUCUUAAGAUCAUCAGUCCAACUGUUAACAUAAUAAAACAUUACCUUUAAUAAACCUUUGAACAGUCUUGAAUCAUGGUGCUAACUUCUUUUUUCCUGCCAGAAUUCAGAGGGGCAUGCAAUACAGGUAUCACACAAGCAAAGGGAAUUGUAUGUUUAGGACUUUACUCCCAAAGAAAAACAAAAUGUGGUGUGUCUUGGUAUCUUUUGAACCCAGUUGUACACCAUCCUGUUCACUCACUGGACUCAAUGCAGUGAGUGCAGGGUCUGUUGCAGUACUUCACCCACCCUUCCACUGGUUAGGAGCAUAGCUUUCCUCU